GAUAACGAAAAGUUAAUAAGGGCACAUGGUGAAUGCCUUGGCUCUCAUAGGCGAUGAAGGACGUGAUAAGCUGCGAAAAGCUUCGGGGAGGUGCAAACAACCUUUGAUCCGAAGAUAUCCGAAUGGGGCAACCCUCCCGGUUGAAGACCGGGAAUCUAAAAAGAAGCUAACCCAGGGAACUGAAACAUCUAAGUACCUGGAGGAAAAGAAAACAAAUAGUGAUUCCCUAAGUAGUGGCGAGCGAACAGGGAAGAGCCCAAACCGUGGUUGUUAAGGCAAUCACGGGGUUGUAGGACUGCAACGUGUAUGUUAAAGUGAAGCUGAAUCUUCUGGAAAGUUGAACCAUAGAGGGUGAUAGACCCGUAAGCGUAAGCAAUAACAUACUAGCAGUAUCCUGAGUACCGCGAGGUCGGAGACGCCUUGUGGGAAUCUGCCGGCACCAUCCGGUAAGGCUAAAUACUAAUGAGAGACCGAUAGUGUACAAGUACUGUGAAGGAAAGGUGAAAAGAACCGCGAACAGCGGAGUGAAAUAGAACCUGAAACCGUGUGCUUACAAGCGGUCGGAGUCCCGUAAGGGAUGACGGCGUGCCUUUUGCAUAAUGAACCUACGAGUUACUCCUCACUGGCAAGGUUAAGCCCCGAAGGGGCGCAGCCGAAGCGAAAGCAAGUCUGAAUAGGGCGUAUAGUCAGUGGGGGUAGACGCGAAACCUUGUGAUCUACACAUGGGCAGGAUGAAGUGAGGGUAACACCUCAUGGAGGUCCGAACUGGUAAGCGUUGAAAAGCUUUCGGAUGACUUGUGUGUAGGGGUGAAAGGCUAAUCAAACUGGGAAAUAGCUCGUACUCCCCGAAAUGUCUUUAGGGACAGCGUUGAGUUAAUUGUUAUAGAGGUAGAGCUACUAAUAGGGCUAGGGGGCUUCACCGCCUACCAAACCCUGAUAAACUCCGAAUGCUACUAACAAAUACUCAGCAGUGAGGCCUGGGGUGCUAACGUCACAGGCCGAGAGGGAAACAACCCAGACCAUCAGCUAAGGUCCCCAAAUCUAUGUUAAGUUGAUAAAACGUGGUUCGAUUGCAUUGACAGCUAGGAUGUUGGCUUGGAAGCAGCCAUUCAUUUAAAGAGUGCGUAACAGCUCACUAGUCGAGCGAUCGGGCGUGGAUAAUAAACGGGCAUCAAACAUAGUACCGAAGCUAUGGCAACGAAAGUUGGGUAGGGGAGCAUUCUAACUGCACCGAAGGUGUGUCGUAAGGCAUGCUGGAGCGGUUAGAAAAGCAAAUGUAGGUAUAAGUAACGAUAAGGCAGGUGAGAAACCUGCCCACCGAAAGACUAAGGAUUCCUGAUCAACGUUAAUCGGAUCAGGGUUAGUCGGGUCCUAAGGCUCAUCCGAAGGGAAAUGCCGAUGGAAAACAGGUUAAUAUUCCUGUACCGGUGCAAUCAGUGAAUGGGACGACGGAGUAGUGAAAGGUCUGCGUACUGACGGAAUAGUACGUUGAAGCCAGUAGAUAUAAGUGCUGCAGGAAAAUCCACAGCGCUUGUCGAAGGUGACAGUACCGGAAGUCUUCGGACGACUGGAUAAUGACCCUAAGCAAACUUCCAAGAAAACUCCCUAAACUUAUGAUUGUACCGCCCGUACCGUAAACCGACACAGGUAGUCGAGGAGAGAAUCCUAAGGUGCUCGAGUGAUUCAUGGCUAAGGAACUCGGCAAAUUAACCCUGUAACUUCGGGAAAAAGGGUGCCCCGCCUCUGGCGGGGCCGCAGAGAAAUGGCCCAGGCGACUGUUUAACAAAAACACAUGGCUAUGCCAAAUCGAAAGAUGAUGUAUAUGGCCUGACACCUGCCCGGUGCUGGAAGGUUAAGAGGAGAUGUUAGUAGCAAUACAAAGCAUUGAAUCGAAGCCCCAGUAAACGGCGGCCGUAACUAUAACGGUCCUAAGGUAGCGAAAUUCCUUGUCGGGUAAGUUCCGACCUGCACGAAUGGUGUAACGAUCUGGGCACUGUCUCAGUCAUGAGCUCGGUGAAAUUGUAGUAGCGGUGAAGAUGCCGCUUACCCGCAACGGGACGGAAAGACCCCGUGCACCUUCACUACAACUUUGCAUUGAUUCUGGAUAAAUGAUGUGUAGGAUAGGUGGGAGACUUUGAAGCGGGGGCGCCAGCCCUCGUGGAGUCAACCUUGAAAUACCACCCUUCAUUUAUUCGGGAUCUAAUCCGGCAAAGCCGGAAACAUUGCAUGGUGGGUAGUUUGACUGGGGUGGUCGCCUCCAAAAGAGUAACGGAGGCUUUCAAAGGUACCCUCAGCACGCUUGGUAACCGUGCGCGGAGUGCAAUAGCAUAAGGGUGCUUGACUGUGAGACAUACAAGUCGAGCAGGCACGAAAGUGGGAUAUAGUGAUCCGGUGGUUCCGCAUGGAAGGGCCAUCGCUCAAAGGAUAAAAGGUACGCCGGGGAUAACAGGCUGAUCUCCCCCAAGAGCUCACAUCGACGGGGAGGUUUGGCACCUCGAUGUCGGCUCGUCACAUCCUGGGGCUGGAGAAGGUCCCAAGGGUUCGGCUGUUCGCCGAUUAAAGUGGCACGCGAGCUGGGUUCAGAACGUCGUGAGACAGUUCGGUCCCUAUCUGUUGUGGGCGUUGGAAAUUUGAGAGGACCUGACUCUAGUACGAGAGGACCGAGUCGGACGUACCUCUAGUGUACCUGUUGUGGCGCCAGCUGCAUCGCAGGGUAGCUACGUACGGUUGAGAUAAGCGCUGAAAGCAUCUAAGCACGAAACUCACCUCAAGAUGAGAUUUCCUUUAAGGGUCGUUGGAGACUACGACGUUGAUAGGUUGCAUGUGUAAAGACAGUAAUGUCAAAGCUGAGCAAUACUAAUUACCCGUAAACUUUCAAU
rnacentral:rRNA from 1 species